UGGGGAAUCUUGCACAAUGGGGGAAACCCUGAUGCAGCGACGCCGCGUGAACGAUGAAGCCCUUCGGGGUGUAAAGUUCUUUCGACAGGAACGAUAAUGACGGUACCUGGAGAAGAAGCUGCGGCUAACUACGUGCCAGCAGCCGCGGUAAUACGUAGGCAGCGAGCGUUGUUCGGAGUUACUGGGCGUAAAGAGUGCGUAGGCGGCGAGCCAAGUUUGGUGUGAAAUCUCCCGGCUUAACCGGGGGGGUGCGCCGAAAACUGGUUGGCUGGAGUAUGGGAGAGUAAAGCGGAAUUCCUGGUGUAGCGGUGAAAUGCGUAGAGAUCAGGAGGAACACCUGCGGUGCAGACGGCUUUCUGGACCAUCACUGACGCUGAGGCACGAAAGCGUGGGUAGCAAACA
rnacentral:rRNA from 1 species